GAUGAACGCUGGCGGCGUGCCUAAUACAUGCAAGUCGAGCGAACAGACGAGGAGCUUGCUCCUCUGACGUUAGCGGCGGACGGGUGAGUAACACGUGGAUAACCUACCUAUAAGACUGGGAUAACUUCGGGAAACCGGAGCUAAUACCGGAUAAUAUAUUGAACCGCAUGGUUCAAUAGUGAAAGACGGUAUUGCUGUCCCUUAUAGUUGUAUCGCCGCUGAGUUGGCUAGUUGGUAGGGUAACGGCUUACCAAGGCAACGAUGCGUAGCCGACCUGAGAGGGGGUUCGGCCACACUGGAACUGAGAAACGGUCCAAACGCCUACGGGAGGCAGCAGUAGGGAAUCUUCCGCAAUGGGCGAAGGCCUAACGGAGCAACGCGGCGUGAGUGAUGAGGUUCUUCGGAUCGUAAAACUCUGUUAUUAGGGAGGAACAGAUGUGUAAGUAACUGUGCACGUCUUGACGGUACCUAAUCAGAAAGCCACGGCUAACUACGUG
rnacentral:rRNA from 1 species